rnacentral:rRNA from 1 species
GACGAACGCUGGCGGCGUGCCUAAUACAUGCAAGUCGAACGCUUCUUUCCUCCCGAGUGCUUGCACUCAAUUGGAAAGAGGAGUGGCGGACGGGUGAGUAACACGUGGGUAACCUACCCAUCAGAGGGGGAUAACACUUGGAAACAGGUGCUAAUACCGCAUAACAGUUUAUGCCGCAUGGCAUAAGAGUGAAAGGCGCUUUCGGGUGUCGCUGAUGGAUGGACCCGCGGUGCAUUAGCUAGUUGGUGAGGUAACGGCUCACCAAGGCCACGAUGCAUAGCCGACCUGAGAGGGUGAUCGGCCACACUGGGACUGAGACACGGCCCAGACUCCUACGGAAGGCAGCAGUAGGGAAUCUUCGGCAAUGGACGAAAGUCUGACCGAGCAACGCCGCGUGAGUGAAGAAGGUUUUCGGAUCGUAAAACUCUGUUGUUAGAGAAGAACAAGGACGUUAGUAACUGAACGUCCCCUGACGGUAUCUAACCAGAAAGCCACGGCUAACUACGUG